AUGCAUAGCCAUGGUGACAUAGCCACAGCUAAAGGGAUCCUUCCACCUUCAGUGGUGUGACUGAGGAGCUACCUCAGGCCAUCGUGUGAAGAGAAAUAAGCUAGGUGAUGCAGGGCAACAGUUUUCACAGGCAUCAUGCCGGUGUGGCAUCUUCUCUUAGGACCUACAAGAAGCUGAAAGUGUCGUUGGGCAAUGGUGGCACGCACUCUUAAUCCCAGCGCUAGGGAGGCAGAGGCAGGUGGAUCUAUGUGAGUUUGAGGCCAGCCUGGUCUACAAAGCUGUUUCUAAGCAGUGCAAUUAGUAGCGCUUGCCUGUCCUAGAUGCCUCAGCUCUUUGAUCUUGAUAGGCUAAUGGCGACCGCCAGGAGUAUUCAAACAGGACGCUGCCUGUCAGCUUCCAGAUUCCCUUGUCAGGAACCUGUUUUGAGGCCAUCAAGUGACUUCUUGAAUAUGACCCUGUGCCCCUAAACUCUUUUUAACCAUCAUUUCCCUUCGGGUUUCUUUCCUUUUUUCUCCAUGUUUGUCCUGGUAGGGCAUAAACCAGAUCAAGCCUGAGGCUCACGAUGUGAUUCCACCAUGAAUUUCUUCUGUGUGUCUCUCUUUCUUCUUAAGGUGAUCAGGCAAGCCAAAAGGACACUCUCUUCUUCUCCUGCUGUCUUGAGCACCUUGUGUUGUUCGCUCAGCACGAUUCCGUCUUAGCAAUAAAUCCCCGACAAGGAUGUUGUGAUCUCUCUGAUUUAAUCGGCAUUAAACCCUCUGAGUCCUCAUAUCCUUCCUCUCCCAUUUCUUAAAAUAGUCUGCAGCACUCAAGUCAAGCAUCCUAUCGACUUCCUUGUUUCUAAUAUUGCAUAAUCCUGCAAGAACACUUUCCCCUAUUCUCCUUAAGGAGCACACAUAAUCAAAACGUUCUCACACGAGAACCUGUGGGUCGGGUGGUCCAGGCAGCCCUGAGGUUAGUGGGGCACAUUGCUGCCCGGAUGACCUGAGCGCUUGCUAGAUUGAAGGGAUGUUUCCUAUCCCUUCGCUGCUUAACUGGCUUAGAAACACGUACCCUCGGUAUUUGGGUCUCAGGACCAGUUUAACUCACCUGCAUGAACCCAGUCAUGCUGUGAUGAGAAUAAAAUGAGCAGAAGACAGCGUAUCCCAUGCCUCUCUCUGGCCCUGCCGUUGUCAGACAAUCCAGCUACCUCUUGGGAACUGCCGUUUCUAUCAGACACUAUUGCUAUUGCGUGGGGCCUUUUAUCUGAGCUGUAGCAUUGAUCCUCUAAGAUGGGUGCGGUAAUUAGCCGUGCUACAGAUGAAGAAGUAGAGGCUCACAGAAGACGUCUGGCUCUUCACAUAUGAAUAUGAAUUCAGCCCCUGGUGACAACAACCUGUAAAGAUGUAAUUCCGUAUCCAGUCUCGCCCCGAGCAGAAUGCACAGGGAGAUAUGACUUUAAAGUAGUGUUCAAGCACACACAUACUUUCUGCAUGUUUUUUGGAAUCUGAGACUAAAUUCUAGAUGGGCUCUUAGCCUGUCACGCAGGGAUGGAGACUCCGGGAUGGAGGGAGCAGGACAGAGGCGUGGAAACCCUCUCACCCUGAGAAGACACCGUUUCUGGGGAUGAUGCGGCUGUCCAAUGGGUGUUGGAGAGCCAGAAGGCAGAUUCAAAGCGUUUGCGUUACCCCGCCCUCUCUACCUGCAAUUGAAAGCAGCCUCCGCUUUGGCCUGUAGAUGGCAGCCUAGGCUCAAUUGAACCCAAGCCUGGUUUGGUUUGGUUUGGUUUUGGGGUGCCCCAAUUCCCACCAGCUGAGAAUCACUUUCAGGGGGAGGCUUGGGGGUGUUAUAAACUGCUGGUGCAUGGGACUGGGCCUCGGAGACUCUGAUAGUGAUGAUCUCGUGGGUGACCGGGGCAAUUUGCUGUUGUUGGGUAUUUGCUUCCUUGCUCGCUCGCUUGCUUGGAGACAGAUGUUUGCUAUGUUGCUUCUGCUGGCAUCUAAAUCCUGGAAUCAAGUAAUCCUCCUGCCUCAGCCUCCCAGGUAGCUGGGAGUAAGAAUGCAUUUAUCCCACAGUGCCUGACCAUAAACGUCGUGUUUUACAAAGCUCCACAGCCGACUCUCCACCAAGGUUAGGAGUGACGGUUUGCACGCUGGGCGCCGUGGUUCCUGUGGGUUUGGUGGGCUGCUCAUUUGACGUCCUUUCCUUGCUGUACCUUGUGGAGCCUGGGCCCACAGAAAGAGAGGAGGACAAUGAGAAGGGGCGUCAUGUGGAGGAAUGAAGAAUACAGUCCAGACGGGAGAGAAAAUAAAGGAGGUUCUUCUCAGGCUGAGAGGAAGGAGCCUAAAGGGAGCCUGCUCGGCGAUUAAAACCCGUUUCCUUCCUUACAGAAAAGAACUACGCCAUGUAGAAGACUAAGGAUUGUUCUAGAAAGCUAGAAAACCUGCCCCUUCUACUGACCAGAGCUUUAACAUGAAUCCUGGUAGGGGCGCUGUGGACUUCAGGGCUUUGGGGGGGGGGGAGGACCUGGCCAGGCAGGGAAGUGGCAAGGAGUGGUAAGGGGUGUGGACAGCAGAAGUGGCUUCACAGAGAAAGUGGCGUCUUCCCAUGUGGACAUAUAUCCUGUGAGGCAUUAGCUGCUACAAAUGGUCCUCUCUUCCCAAUAGCUUCAUGCACAAGAAUGGAGGCUGGCUAGUCCAGUGCCUUCACGAAGAGGAACAGCAAGGGACCUGUUGCCAUAGCAACUCAUCAGGCACAGUCACACCACCAUGUCCCAAUUCUCAUCUUUGGGCAAAGCCUCAUCAUUGAGCAUCCCCCCCCCAAAAAAAAAAUCAUACUGAAUACGCAAAACUCCACGAUGAACAAAAUUUUAAAUUGAGACACGAUCCCUAUCUCCAGCUUUCCCUUUUACCUCAACUUGAAUAGCCAACAGCAUCGCUGUGGCACUUUCUAAUGAAUGCAGGCUGCAGUGGUGGGGAGCCCUGACGCUGUCCAGCCCACAUGCUUUCCGGAGCCACUUACAGCACCUGUGGAAUGUGAGUUAUCACAGAUCUGUGAUGCUGUCCGCUGAGAUAAAUUCUUUCCUCUUCAGUUUGCUUUUGGCCCUGGUGUCUUAUCACAGCCGUAGAAAGCAAGCCAAGAGAGAAACUGACAACCUAUAUUUUUACUUAAGAUUCCAGUAGGUCUUCCGGUCAUGAAAGCCUGGGUGAGUGGAUCUCUAGGAAUGCUUGUGGUUAUAGUAAUGACCACCGGCAUUGCCAGUUGGAAAAGCGAAACAAACAAAAACUUUACUUUCUUUUGCAAAAGUUUAUUUUAAUUGAUUGAAAACCACAUUACUCAUUAGGAACCCUGUGGUGUCUCAACCCACUGCACACUUGCAUAAUGUACCAAUAGUUCCAGAUCUGUGGGAACUGUGCUCCUAGCGGAGCAGUGGUGCCACCUAGUGGGAGAGUCUGGUACCGAGCACUCAAGGAUAACGCCAAACACAGCAUGACGUCCUGGAGCCUCGGCUUCAGCGCAGGUCUCUGGUAAGGGAGGCCAUGCUUAGGAACUUACACCGUGGUCGUUGAGAUGGAGCAGAUGGGAGACUGUGUGGACAGACGGGUCAGGAGGUAAGGGAGUAGGUAGGCGGGGUGUCCCCAAGGUAGAAAAGUCUCGUGACACAGCCACACACAGAUAGGGUGACCCUGAGACAGACUCUUAGCCCCUACUUUCCCAUCAGUGGAAGUGAGAGAGACCGAGACAAUAGAGAAUGUAUCUCUAACCUCUAUUAUCUUCACUUCACCUACUUGGGACAAAUAUGAGAAAAUCAAGUCCCCAGAGUCUUUGAAAACACAGGGUAUCAGGGUAGGCACUGGAAAUACAAAGAUAGGUAAGAUAGAAAGUUCGAUCGAAGUUGACCUGGGUACUGAAGUGGCUGAGGGGGGAGCAGGGAAAAGUCAAGGCCUGGUAAGCUACAGAGUGGGUUCAAAGCCAGCCUGAGCAACUCAGUGAGACCUUGUCACAAAAUAAAAAUAAAAAGUAAAUCAUAGGCUGGGGAUACAGCUUAGUUAUGAAGUCUCUGUGUAGCUUGUGUGAGGUCCAGAUUUGACCUCCAUGAUUGAAGACAGGGGCUGCUUCCAGAAACAUGUCAGAAUGUGCACUGGUGGCUGAGCUGGUGUGAAAAGACAGCCUAGCGGUGCGAGAAUUUCAGCAAACGGAAAGUGACCGUGUUUGCGGGGAAUCAAGUGAGGGUACUUUUCUUCUGUCACAGGUGGGAUGCAGCGUGAUCGUAACAGAGGCCAUGCGUGUUUGGGUAGAACUGUGGAGGGUCACACAGGUUUCACGCCGGCCUCUGAGGAGAUCUCCGUUGUGCUACACAGACUCAGCUGUGAGCUUGGACACUGUAUAUCGUUCCCAUUUUACUGUGGCUCACUUUACUCGAGUGGGAAAAGAAGAUGCGUUCCGGAGAAAUCAUACUUGGACUUGGAGAUUUUGAUCCUUUCCUGGGCUGGCCACACGGAUCUUUGAUGCCUUUUCAUCUAGGGUAGCAGCAGCAAGCUGUUCCCAGGGAGCCCCAUGGCCAUGAAGUAACUGGUCCUACUGUGUUCCCAGGGAGCCCCAUGGCCAUGAAGUGACUGGUCCUAUUGUGUUCCCAGGGAGCCCCAUGCCAUGAAGUGACUGGUCCUACUGUGUUUCCAGGGAGUCCCAUGGCCAUGAAGUGACUGGUCCUACUGUGUUCCGGGCAAAUGAGCCAAGAUGCUUGCCAGACUGGGAUGUCAAGCACACCCUCGACUGCUGCUGGCUUUUCAUUUAUGACGGCUAUGGCCCAGGUGCUCUUGAACCAAACAGCUAGUAAAGUCACGUGCAUCUCAGAGCA
rnacentral:sRNA from 1 species